rnacentral:rRNA from 1 species
CCCAGACUCCUACGGGAGGCAGCAGUGGGGGAUAUUGGACAAUGGGGGGAACCCUGAUCCAGCGACGCCGCGUGAGUGAAGAAGUAUCUCGGUAUGUAAAGCUCUCUCAGCAGGGAAGAAGAAAUGACGGUACCUGAGUAAGAAGCCCCGGCUAACUACGUGCCAGCAGCCGCGGUAAUACGUAGGGGGCAAGCGUUAUCCGGAAUUACUGGGUGUAAAGGGAGCGUAGACGGUGAUGUAAGUCUGGAGUGAAAGGCGGGGGCCCAACCCCCGGACUGCUCUGGAAACUAUGUGACUGGAGUGCAGGAGAGGUGAGCGGAAUUCCUAGUGUAGCGGUGAAAUGCGUAGAUAUUAGGAGGAACACCAGUGGCGAAGGCGGCUUACUGGACAGUAACUGACGUUGAGGCUCGAAAGCGUGGGGAGCAAACAGGAUUAGAUACCCGCGUA